GUCGGUCAGCGGUCGGCCAAAUGAGACGUGGCGGCUGGGCUUCACGGAUGGAGACCGUCACGAACAGACCGCGAAUCUGAAUGGUUACAGCAAUUCUGAACGGUUACAGCAAAUCUGAACGGUUACAGCAACUAGUCGGCCGACGUCGAUAGCAGGUGGAGCGGCAGUUGUGAGCGGGGAGCGUGGCGGUUACUGGUUCACGCGGCGGCCUUGGCUUCGACGGAGACAGAACCGGCUGAGACGGCUGGGCAGCGGCGGAAGAGCAACGGCUGCAACGGCGGAAGGUCUUGCGGUACAGAUCUGGACGGCGGUCGCAAGGUGACGCGUACGGCGGCCGCAAGGUGACGCGUACGACUGCCUCGCGAACUGGCCGAUGGUUGCAGCGACGUCCGGCUGGGUUUGGACGGAACGAAGAGGAGAAGAGAAAUGGAGACGGCCGGCGGCGGUUGCUGCGAACGGAAGGAGAAGAGAGGGACAGUCGGCGACGCACGGGAGGAAGAAGAAAAAGAAAAAAAAGUUUUCUUUUUCUUUUCUUUUAUUUAAAUAAAAAUGUAAAAUAAAUAUAUUAAUAAAAUAUAAUUAAAUACAUAUAUAUAUUUAAUUAUAUUAAUACAUUUCACAUCUUCUUUCUCUCAAAAUAAUUUACCUUCAAGUUUGGGGCGUUACAUUCUUCCCUCCUUAAGAAACUUUCGUCCUCGAAAGUUUUAAUCCUGAAAUAACUCUGCUCAUCUCUUCUUCUCGCUCCCAUGUCGCCUCUUCAAUUCGAUGAUUCUGCCACAAAACCUUUACUAAUGGAAUGCUUCUAUUACGAAGCAUCUUUACCUCUCUAGCCAGAAUCUCCACAGGUUGUUCUACAUAGCUCAAAUGCUCAUCAAUCUCCAAGGGUUCAUAGUCCACUACAUGAGAUGUAUCGGCCACAUACUUCCUCAACAUCGAAACAUGGAAAACAUUAUGAACUGCAGAGAGAGAUGGUGGUAAUGCCAAGCGAUACGCCACAACACCAACCCUCUCUAAGAUCUCAAAUGGUCCAACAAAACGAGGACUUAACUUUCCUUUCUUCUCAAAACGCAUAACACCCUUCAUUGGUGCUACCUUCAAGAAUACCUUUUCUCCCACAUCGAACUUAAGGUCUUUUCACCGUACAUCCGCAUAACUCUUCUGUCUACUCUGCGCUGUUUGCAUACGUGCUCUAAUCUUUUGAAUAGCCUCAUUAGUAGACCGAACUAAUUCAGGUCCCAUCAACCUAUGUUCACCAACCUCAUCCCAACAAACAGGGGUUCUACAACAUUUGCCAUACAAAGCCUCAAAUGGUGUCAUACCGAUGGUAGCCUGGAAACUGUUGUUAUAAGAAAACUCCAUCAAAUGUAGAUGAGAGUCCCAACUACCUGGAAACUCUAUAACACAAGCUCGUAGCAUAUCCUCUAAAACUUGGUUCAAACGUUCAGUUUGACCAUCAGUCUGUGGAUGAAAGGCUGUACUAAAAUCCAAUCUCGUACCCAUAGCAGUCUGAAGUCCCUUCCAAAACUUGGAAGUAAACCGUGCAUCCCUAUCAGAAACAAUCGAUACAGGCACUCCAUGCAGUCUCACAAUCUCAGUUAAAUACAACUCUGCCCACUUACUAGCAGUAUAAGUGGAUUUCCCUGGUACAAAAUGUGCCGAUUACGUAAGCCUAUCGACAAUAACCCAAAUCACUGUGUAACCCUUCAGGGUUUUAGGCAAUUAUAUAAUAAAAUCCAUAGAUACAUUCUCCCACUUCCACUCUAAUAUACUCAAAGGUUGCAACAAACCUGUUGUUUUCUAUCUUGGUGCUUUAACCUACUAGCACACCAAGCACUUACUAACAAGAUUUUCCAUUUCUCUCUUCAUAUUACGCUAGUAACAAACUCUUUUCAAAUCCGGAUACAUUUUUGUGCUACUUGGAUGCAUGAGAAAUGGGAAACUAUGAGUCUCAACCAAUAACCUUGUCUUAAUUGCAUUUUCUGUUGGCUCACAUAAUUCUCUCUCAAACAUAAGUUCAUCAUCAAAGGAUAUGGAAAACUCCUUAACUUGCCCUACUUCUACUAGGUGAUGCUUCUCAAUCAAAUAAGGAUCAAUGAAUUGAACCACAAGAAUUCUUUGUCUCAAGGUCGGAUGUACUGACAACUGAGCUAACUUUGAGGUGACUUCCCCCACUGAAACUACAAUCUCAGCUCUCUCGUGGUUUUUGUCUAAUGAAACCUGUCUGGUAAUAAGUGCUGUCAAAAUGUGAUACUUUUCUACGAAGAGCACCAACUUCCACAUUCGCCUUACCUAGAUGGUACAAAAUCUCACAAUCAUAGUCAUUUACUAACUGAAACCAUCUUUGCUAUCUCAUACUCAACUUCUUUUGAGUGAAGAAGUAUUUUAUACUCUUUUGGUUAGAAAAUAUCUAUAUCUUUUCAUCAUACAUAUAGUGCCUUCAAAUCAUUAAUGUAAAAACCACAACUGUCAAUUCCAUAUCAUAAGUUGGACAAUUUUCCUCAGUAGGAGUACAAGCAACUACUUUAACUUGUCGAAUAAGAAUACCUUUUAAACUUUCCUAAAAGCAUCACUAUAAAUUACGGAACAUUCUGAACCAUCAUGUACGGUAAGCACGGGAGUUGUACAAGCUUCUGCUUAAGAUCCUGAGCACUAUCCUCAUAGGCUUUGUCCCAAACAAACAGAGUCCCUUUUCUUAGUUAACUGAGUCAAAGGAGUAGCUAUACGAGAAAAUUCUUAUACAAACCGUCAGUAAUAACCUGCUGAACCCAAAAAGACUACGAACCUCACUGACUAUGAAAGGUUGAGGCCAACUGGUAACGACUUCAAUCUUUUAUGAGAUCCACAUAAAUGUCAUCUCUAGAUACCACAUGGCUUGGAAAGAUACUUGGCCUCAUCCAAAACUCACAUUUUGAAAACUUUGCAUACAAUUUGUUGACUCGAAGAGCCUCUAAAACCAUGUUAAAUGCUCCUCAUGCGCCGUCUCUAUUUUGGAAUAAAUUAAGAUAUCGUCAAUAAAUACAAUCACGAAAGUGUCUAAGAGAUCGUUAAACACUUUGUUCAUCAAGUCGUAAACAUUGUUUGAGCAUUUGCCAACUCAAAAGACAUCAUAAUGAACUCAUGAUGUCCAUAUCUUGAACGAAAAUCUGCCUUAGGAAUGUCACUGUUCUCUAAUCCUCAACAAGUCAUAACCUGAAUGUAAUUCAAUCUUAAAGAACACGAACUUAUUGCAGUUGAUCAAACAAAUCCUCAUUCAUUGGUAAAAGAUAUUUAUUCUUAACCGACACCUUAUUCAACUUUCUACAAUCAAAACAUAAGUGCAUCGACCCAUCUUUCUUCUUAAUAAACAAAACUUGGUGCACCCCAAGAUAACAUACUUCGUCGAAUGUAGUCCUUGUUAAACAUUUCUUUCAAUUGCACCUUCAAAUCUUUCAACUCUGUUGGGGCCAUUUUGUAUGAAGCUUUAGAUAUAGGAACGAGUCUAACUCUAUCUCAAUAGCAAGACCAAUUUCUGUUUAGCGCGGUAAUCUUAGAAACUCUUCUAGAAAAAUAUCAUAAUACUUUUUCACCACUGAUUCAAAUAACAAAGAAACAUUGACUUCUCUGGUGUCUACCACACUAGUCAAAUACAACAGGUACCCUGGUCAAGCAACUUACUAACCUUCAUAGCUGGGAUAACUUUUAGCGAAACGAUAGUUCCAACCUCUUUGUACUUGAAACUAGCCUCUGGAGAAGGAUUAGAAAUUACAUUUUCGCUGAACAUUUUAUGUUUACAUGGUUAAACUACAUUCCAAUUUUCAAACUCCAAACUAGUAACUUUUCAUUCACGAGAAACUCAAAAUUGUUUCUUAAAGUCACAUCAAGACAACCAUGCUCAUCUUCCUUGUUUCUUUUCCAAUACCUCCAUUCUAAAACCAUUUAAUGUGUUUCGUAUAAACUUGACCGUGUAUUUAGUCCUCGUUAAAACCACCUACAUAACUUAUUUUUCUUAGAUUUCCAAUCACAAAACAGACAAUUUCGCUAACAACGUCUUACUUUUCUACUACUCGACCACUCCUUUGAACACCUCUACAUGGCAACAUUUUUCCUAAGUUUCACCAUUAAAUCCUUCACCAUUAAAUCAUAACAUUCAUGUAAUUCUAGUUUAACUUAGGCAAGGUCAUAUACAUAAACCAUACAUAUAAGCAUAAAGCAUACCUGACGAGAGACGAAGGGUCGCGUUAGCCAUAGGGACACAAAAACAUAGACUUACAUCGUAAGUCAGUCUACAGAACCUAAAACUUAGGCUCUGAUACCAACUGUAACGACCCAACUUUUAUAGGUAAGUCGAGGUCAUUAAUUUUUAACAAAAGACUUUGGUUGAUACAAAAUGAAACGUAAGUCAAUUUAAAAACAAUUUAUGUCAUGCCUGAUUUUCAAAUAUUCAAGAAAACUUAAAAAUAACACUAUUUACAAAUAAAAGUUUGUAAACUAAGUUUUUAGUACAUCUUAAACUUCAAAAGAAACCAUAAGCGGAAGCAAAAUGACACAUUUCCUAUGGCAAUCACGCUUCCUCCUGCCCCUCGCCGGUUUGCCACCUUUAUUUCCUUUGCCUGAAAAUUAAACAUAAGAAGGGUGAGUAUAACAAUACUCAGUAAGAGACCCUCUACUGGUCUCGUCAGGGGAAAAUAAAUUGUUAAAGUUCUAUUGGGACACCCUGUACAGUCGCAGUCUUGUGAUCCCGUAGGAUACACAUCUCAGUCUAACGCCCCGAGGGACGUACAUAUCAGUCUAACGCCCCGAGGGACGUUCAUAUCAGUCUAGUGUUCCCGAAGGUGCAAAAUAAAUUGGUGAUCCCGUGGGACACCUACAAGGUAAACAUCCCAAUACAACCUAACAAUUUAUCCCCUCAUUCCAUUCAAUCCAUCUUUCAGUUACUUCAAAACAUAGAGUUCUUUCUCUCAACUUAUCUCACUUUAGUCAUAUGUCUGUGAAUAAUAUACUAAUACGUCAGUCAAUCAAACUAUACAGUCAAUACACCCUCAGAUCACCAGCACACAGUCAUACUAUAGCGUAACGUACACCCAAUCUAAACGACAAUCACAAGAUCGCAUCUGCAUCUCAUACAAGCACAAUCUACAAUUUUCGUCCUGUCCACAUCCACACACACAUAUAUAUAUUCCAUGACAAUCACAAUAUGCAUUCAACAUUAAGUCUACUUCAAUUCAUAUGCAUAUAUAUAUUUUCAGUCAAUCCACAAUAUACAUUCAACACCGAAUCUACAUCCAUACGUGUAUAUAUAUAUAUCAUCUCAUCAUCUUUACUCAGUCAGAGAUAAUCAUACAGACAUAUAAUUCACAAUCAUAAGUGAGUCCAGUAGAAAAUCCCUUACCUCAAAGUUAGGGAAGCUCCUUAAUCACUAACGUCCUCGAAACAAUCCUAAGCAUAACAACACAAAAUUCAAUUACUUUCACGAUACAUAUCCCACUUAUUUUCCUCAACGUAAGUUUCAACUCACUGAUAUAAUGGCGAACUGAACCUUCAACAAUUCACAAUCUGGUUGUGAAUGUAAGGGAGCUAAAUGUUACUCCCAACACCUCAACGCACGACUGUCGAACUCGCGGCAAAAUCCUAACUGUGGGUCGGUCAGCGGUCGGCCAAAUGAGACGUGGCGGCUGGGCUUCACGGAUGGAGACCGUCAUGAACAGACCGCGAAUCUGAAUGGUUACAGCAAUUCUGAACGGUUACAGCAAAUCUGAACGGUUACAGCAACUAGUCGGCCGACGUCGAUAGCAGGUGGAGCGGUAGUUGUGAGCGGGGAGCGUGGCGGUUACUGGUUCACGCGGCGGCCUUGGCUUCGACGGAGACAGAACCGGCUGAGACGGCUGGGCAGCGGCGGAAGAGCAACGGCUGCAGCGGCGGAAGGUCUUGCGGUACAGAUCUGGACGGCGGUCGCAAGGUGACGCGUACGGCGGCCGCAAGGUGACGCGUACGGCUGCCUCGCAAACUGGCCGAUGGUUGCAGCGACGUCCGGCUGGGUUUGGACGGAACGGAGAGGAGAAGAGAAAUGGAG
rnacentral:lncRNA from 1 species